GACGAACGCUGGCGGCGUGCUUAACACAUGCAAGUGGAGCGACGAACCAGGCUUCGGCCUGGGGCAAAGCCGCGAACGGGUGAGUAUCACGUGGGUAACCUGCCCCGAUGACCGGGACAACCCGAGGAAACUCGGGCUAAUACCGGAUGAGCUCCCAAUCCACCAGGGGUGGAAGGAAAGGAAGCCUCGGCCUCCGCCUCGGGAGGGGCUCGCGGCCCAUUAGCUGGUUGGUGGGGUAACGGCCUACCAAGGCAACGAUGGGUAGCUGGUCUGAGAGGACGAUCAGCCACACUGGGACUGAGACACGGCCCAGACUCCUACGGGAGGCAGCAGUGGGGAAUCUUGCGCAAUGCGCGAAAGCGUGACGCAGCAACGCCGCGUGGGGGAAGACGGCCUUCGGGUUGUAAACCCCUUUCAGGAGGGACGAAGGUUCACCGGUGAAUAGCCGUGUGGAUUGACAGUACCUCCACAAGAAGCUCCGGCUAACUACGUGCCAGCCGCCGCGGUAAUAC
rnacentral:rRNA from 1 species